rnacentral:rRNA from 2 species
AGGAAGGCAGCAGGCGCGCAAAUUACCCACUCCCGGCACGGGGAGGUAGUGACGAAAAAUAACGAUACGGGACUCAUCCGAGGCCCCGUAAUCGGAAUGAGUACACUCUAAACCCUUUAACGAGGAUCAAUUGGAGGGCAAGUCUGGUGCCAGCAGCCGCGGUAAUUCCAGCUCCAAUAGCGUAUAUUAAAGUUGUUGCGGUUAAAAAGCUCGUAGUCGAAUCUGUGUCCCGCGCCGCCGGUUCAUCGCUCGCGGUGUUAACUGGCGUGCCCGCGAGACGUCCUGCCGGUGGGUUUAGCUCGUUCGCGGGCGGCCCAACUUGAAAUCCCACCGCGGUGCUCUUGACUGAGUGUCGAGGUGGGCCGGCACAUUUACUUUGAACAAAUUAGAGUGCUUAAAGCAGGCUAAAACUUCGCCUGAAUAUUGUGUGCAUGGAAUAAUGGAAUAGGACCUCGGUUCUAUUUUGUUGGUUUUCGGAACACCGAGGUAAUGAUUAAUAGGGACGGAUGGGGGCAUUCGUAUUGCGACGUUAGAGGUGAAAUUCUUGGAUCGUCGCAAGACGGACAGAAGCGAAAGCAUUUGCCAAAAACGCUUUCAUUGAUCAAGAACGAAAGUUAGAGGUUCGAAGGCGAUCAGAUACCGCCCUAGUUCUAACCAUAAACGAUGCCAGCUAGCGAUCCGCCGACGUUCCUCCGAUGACUCGGCGGGCAGCUCCNNGGAAACCAAAGCNUUUGGGUUCC